CCUUUCGAUCUCGUAUCCCCCAUCCGCUUCCCUCCCGACAAUUUCAAGCACUCUUUGACUCUCUUUUCAAAGUCCUUUUCAUCU